CUUGUGGUGGUCUUGACCUUGAGUCCUGUGCAUACAUUGAUGGUCUUCCUUCAUACAGAUUUAAUUGUUCCUAAAUAAAUAAAAAAGAAAAGAUAUUAUAUAAACAAUGAAAAGCAACAUAUACUGGUCUCCAAGGAUUCUUUGGGGCAGGUUUAAAAAAUAGAGAGGAAAAAUGAUCUACCUGAACAGCUACUUCUAAAUUCCAGUUAUGCCUUUGCAAAACAUCCCUGCAG